rnacentral:rRNA from 1 species
AUACAGAGGGUGCAAGCGUUAAUCGGAAUUACUGGGCGUAAAGCGCGCGUAGGCGGUUUGUUAAGUCGGAUGUGAAAUCCCCGGGCUCAACCUGGGAACUGCAUUCGAAACUGGCGAGCUAGAGUAUGGUAGAGGAUAGUGGAAUUCCGGGUGUAGCGGUGAAAUGCGUAGAUAUCCGGAGGAACAUCAGUGGCGAAGGCGGCUAUCUGGACCAAUACUGACGCUGAGGUGCGAAAGCGUGGGGAGCAAACAGGAUUAGAAACCCCAGUAGUCC